ACGCUCGACACCUACGGGAGACAGCAGUCGGGAAUAUUGCGCAAUGGAGGGAACUCUGACGCAGUGACGCCGCGUAUAGGAAGAAGGUUUUCGGAUUGUAAACUAUUGUCGUUAGGGAAGAGAAAGGACAGUACCUAAGGAGGAAGCUCCGGCUAACUACGUGCCAGCAGCCGNGGUAAUCUGAGCGGGCUGGCAAGGC
rnacentral:rRNA from 1 species